CCUACGGGAGACAGCAGUGGGGAAUAUUGGGCAAUGGAGGCAACUCUGACCCAGCAACGCCGCGUGAAUGAUGAAGGUCUUCGGAUUGUAAAGUUCUGUGAUGGGGGAUGAACACAAUGACGGUACCCCACUAGCAAGCCACGGCUAACUACGUGCCAGCAGCCGCGGUAAUACGUAGGUGGCAAGCGUUAUCCGGAAUGACUGGGUGUAAAGGGAGCGUAGACGGCUGUGCAAGUCUGGAGUGAAAGGCGGGGGCCCAACCCCCGGACUGCUCUGGAAACUGUAUGGCUGGAGUGCAGGAGAGGUAAGCGGAAUUCCUAGUGUAGCGGUGAAAUGCGUAGAUAUUAGGAGGAACACCAGUGGCGAAGGCGGCUUACUGGACUGUAACUGACGUUGAGGCUCGAAAGCGUGGGGAGCAAACAGGAUUAGAUACCCGGGUAGUC
rnacentral:rRNA from 1 species